rnacentral:rRNA from 1 species
GGAAGUAAAAAGUCGUAANCAAGGUUCUCCGUUGGUGAACCAGCGGAGGGAUCAUUACCGAGUUUAC